rnacentral:rRNA from 1 species
GAUGAACGCUGGCGGCGUGCCUAAUACAUGCAAGUCGAGCGAAUGGAUUAAGAGCUUGCUCUUAUGAAGUUAGCGGCGGACGGGUGAGUAACACGUGGGUAACCUGCCCAUAAGACUGGGAUAACUCCGGGAAACCGGGGCUAAUACCGGAUAACAUUUUGAACCGCAUGGUUCGAAGUUGAAAGGCGGCUUCGGCUGUCACUUAUGGAUGGACCCGCGUCGCAUUAGCUAGUUGGUGAGGUAACGGCUCACCAAGGCAACGAUGCGUAGCCGACCUGAGAGGGUGAUCGGCCACACUGGGACUGAGACACGGCCCAGACUCGUACGGGAGGCAGCAGUAGGGAAUCUUCCGCAAUGGACGAAAGUCUGACGGAGCAACGCCGCGUGAGUGAUGAAGGCUUUCGGGUCGUAAAACUCUGUUGUUAGGGAAGAACAAGUGCUAGUUGAAUAAGCUGGCACCUUGACGGUACCUAACCAGAAAGCCACGGCUAACUACGUGCCAGCCGCCGCGGUAA